rnacentral:rRNA from 1 species
AGCGUGGGUAGCAAACAGGAUUAGAUACCCUGGUAGUCCACGCCGUAAACGAUGAGCACUAGGUGUUGGGCCCGUUAGGGCUCAGUGCCGCAGUUAACGCAAUAAGUGCUCCGCCUGGGGAGUACGCUCGCAAGAGUAAAACUCAAAGGAAUUGACGGGGACCCGCACAAGCAGCGGAGCAUGUGGUUUAAUUCGAAGCAACGCGAAGAACCUUACCAGGGCUUGACAUCCUGCUGACAGGACCUUAACCGGUCCCUUCUUCGGACAGCAGAGACAGGUGGUGCAUGGUUGUCGUCAGCUCGUGUCGUGAGAUGUUGGGUUAAGUCCCGCAACGAGCGCAACCCUUGUCGCUAGUUACUAACAUUCAGUUGAGGACUCUAGCGAGACUGCCGAGGUCAACUCGGAGGAAGGUGGGGAUGACGUCAAAUCAUCAUGCCCCUUAUGUUCUGGGCUACACACGUGCUACAAUGGUCGGUACAAUGAGAGGCAAUACUGUGAAGUGGAGCAAAUCACCAAAACCGAUCCCAGUUCGGAUUGUAGGCUGCAACUCGCCUACAUGAAGUUGGAGUUGCUAGUAAUCGCAGAUCAGAAUGCUGCGGUGAAUGCGUUCCCGGGUCUUGUACACACCGCCCGUCACACCAUGGAAGUUGGGGGUGCCCAAAGUCGGUUAAUUAAUCUAUCGCCUAAGGCAAAACCAAUGACUGGGGUGAAGUCGUAACAAGGUAGCCGUUCGAGAACGAGCGGCUGGAUCA